UGCUUAUUAUUUGGGCUUAUGCGAGCUUGCCAGAUAGGGGGAGGCUGACCUGGGGGCCCUGGCCAAGGGGGACCUAGGUGCCGCACGGGGCUAGAACUCUCUUCCCGUGACAAGUAGCAUGUUCUAUCUUAUUUUGAUACCACAGCUUGCUUUCGCAACUUUUUUUCUUAUUGGAAAGACCUCACGUGUGGAAUUGUUAGCUGUGUACGAACAAAUGGCUACACUGCUGCCUUUCAUAGGAUUCUUUGUUUUAUUGUUGCUGAUUUCCUCAUCUGCUUGUGUUAACUUAUUUUGUUGAUUUAUGGCUUCAAUAAUAGAAUGCAAUAUGUUGUAGGAUUAAUUUCGUUUUCGUCUUUGGCUUAUAUCAAAAUUAACGCGUCCCUCGAUUUUCAGAACUCAAUGGUGAAGCCAUUCCCAUAUUUUGGUCCUGUCAAAUUGCGAGCCUUCCAUACAUAUUUGAAAACUUUGUAAUUUUUUCCCAGUUUGACAGAUUCAAAAUAAAGGGAUUAAAUCAUUAAUGUUCAGAAAGUUGGGGAAUACUUAUUAAUUUUUACAUAAAUCAAGAAUGAAAACAUAGUUUAUGUUUAAGGGUAUUUUGAUUAUUUUUUAAACAAUUAACGGAAAAUUGAUGAAAAAUUGAAUGAAAGGACUUUUCCAUUUUUGGAAAAUAAAGAGAGAAAAUAAUUUGAGGAAAAUAAGGGGAGGACCUUUCUUAUUUAGGGAAGAGAAAAAUAAAAGAAAGAAAGAAAAGAAAUGUUAUUAUCUUUUAAUUAUUUUCUUUCUAAUUUAAGGGAAAUAACAAAAAGUGAAAGAGAAAGUUACUUUUAAAUAAAAAAAAUUAAAA
rnacentral:misc_RNA from 1 species